rnacentral:lncRNA from 1 species
UCAAAUCUCAAACAAUUGAUAUUGUUUGAACCAAUGUGAGAAUUAAAUAAAUUAUUAAUAACUAUCAAUUGUUUGAACCAAUGUGACAAUUAAAUAAAUUAUUGAUAACUUACAAAGUCACAUAUUAAUUUCUGAAUAAAUCUCUCACCAGAGCAAGGAACCAUCCAGCCAUCUCAGUUUUGCCCAUGUUAUUUCAUUUUCAGCAUAUGGAACGAAAUCAAUUCUUUAGGGCUGGGCUUGUUUCAUCUAUUUUUAUAUCAGUCGUGCUCCUGCAAAUAAAUGAAGCAAAUCUCAUAAACAGCUACAUCUAAAGCAAAACAAUGCCAACCCAUCACAGGCCUAACCCUAGAUCAAAAAUUUCAAUUGCCUAAGUUAGUUGCUUCACACAGUGGACUGAGCAACCAACUUGGAGAUUUUAAUAAUGCAAUUAUAAUGGUUGGAAUUGUCAAUUUUCUCCUAUCGUGUAUAUAGAGCUACUACAUUAACAUAUUAUACUCUAAAAACUAUAAUUGCUUGCAUAAUUCUUAGCAACCAUCACAAUUGAGGAAUUAAUCCAUUUAUGCAACCAUCCCACAAACACAAAUAUUCUUGCCAUUUAUAUUGAUGCUAAAUUAUUAUAAUUUGGUUACACUAUUAUCAUCAUCAUUACUACGUCAAAAAGUUGCAUCACUACUACAUAAAAAAGUAGCACAAAUAUUAAAAAAAAUAUAUGCUUUGCAAAAGAUAUUAUCAUCUUUAAUAACCCAAAAAAAAAAACCGAUCCUUAACACUUUCCCCUCUAUGUCAGCAAAAUAAUAUCACUCCUUAGUUUAUCAUAUCUCCAGACCUGAUUUAUAAUAAUGAUUGAAAAAUUAUGGAUAUGUUAUCAAUCAUUUAGCAAAAAUAUCAAGGACUAACACAACAUCACAACAAUGGAUUGAUUAUAGACCUGUGUAGACAAAGUUAGAGACAACUUACUGCUAUAAUCCUUUGAGCUGCAGGCAAGGCUGAUGCUUUCAAACAGGUUUUCGGAAGAGUCAUUUGUUUCUUCUUCAUCAAGUAAAUCCUACAAACAUGGAAGAAUGAAAUUGCCAACUUCUACAAGCAGUAUUUAAAAAGAUUACAUAGAUUCAAAUUAAAUUACAGGGUUGAAUUCAAUAAAGGGAUAUUACCAGAAUAACUUCUUUUACCCUUGAAAUAUUGAAAUCACUCUUUUCUCUUCUAUGAAAAAAAAAAUUCGUAAAUGGACACAAUCCUCAUAAACCCAAAAUUACUCUGGAUGCAUAACUACAAUUGAAAUUCCAUGACUAAAAAAAAUUAAUUAUUCAAUUUAUUCUCUUAAAUGCUCUAUUAAAGACAAAUAAUUUUCUCUUGCAAACAGUUAAAUUUCAAAAAUAAAAAAUACUCAUUGCAUCUUUCAAGCAGGACUAGGUCCAUAAAUAUUCUCUCUAGAUUUUCUCAGCAAACAAACAAAAAAAAGAAAUAAUACAGAACAAAAAUAAAAAGAAAUAAUAUAGAACAAAAAUGAAAAAAGAGAAAUGAACAUCAAUGGACGAAGAAUUAUCGAACUGAAUGUGAUCCCAAAGCUUCACAAAGAUCUCGUGAUUUCUAUACAGUGAACCGGGAAGGGGAGUAUGGCCCACAAAACCAGGAUUUGCAGGGUCGGCCCAGGGUUUCGGUGCGUUGAUUGAAGGUCGUGAGGGCUUAAAGUUUCCUUGUGCUGAGUGAGGUGAAAUGAAGAAAUAGAGAGACCUACGAGAAAGAAUUUCAAUUGAAAAUUUCUUUAUCUCCAAGCCGGGACGAGGGACAACACUGAAAAAAUCGAAAAUUAAAACUUUAUCUAGGACUAAAUAAUAAUGAAUUUAAAAAAAAAUUGAGACAAUUAUAUGAAGAGAGAGAGAGUCACCUCUAGCGAAAGAGCUUCGAGCUUAGAUAUUCUGUUUCUUAUCUUCAAUAUUGUUAGGGUUUAUCAGGGUUUCUUGUCUUCAAUCUUCCAUCUUUGUUAGGAUUUCUUCGAACUAUUCUUGUUUGGUUUAAAGUGUAUUUGUUUCGUCUACUUGGUUUGAUUUGGGAAGAUUUCCGAAUGAUUUAGGAAGAGAGGCAAUACGAAGAGAGAGAGAGAGGGAAGACGAAAAGAUUUCAAAAUUUUC